rnacentral:snRNA from 1 species
GGAUGUGAGGGCGAUCUGGUUGCGACAUCUGUCACUCCAUUGAUUGCCAGGGUUGAUUCGGCUGAUCUGUCUGGCUAGGCGAGUGUCCCCUUCCUCCCUCACCGCUCCAUGUGCGUCCCUCCUGAAGCUGCGCGCUCGGUCGAAGACGACCUUCCCCGAUCGAGCCGUACCAUUCAUCGGUCAAGGGUAUACGGUAGCUGCGUUCCCCUGCUAGAACCUCCAAACAAGCUCAAGGUCCAUUUGUAGGAGAACGUAGGGUAGUCAAGCUUCCAAAAAAAAAAAAAAAAAAGGCCUCAAGUUGCGCCAGGUGAGGUUU